UGGGGAAUUUUGGACAAUGGGGGAACCCUGAUCCAGCCAUCCCGCGUGUGCGAUGAAGGCCUUCGGGUUGUAAAGCACUUUUUGGCAGGAAAGAAACGUCGCGGGUUAAUACCCCGCGAAACUGACGGUACCUGCAGAAUAAGCACCGGCUAACUACGUGCCAGCAGCCGCGGUAAUACGUAGGGUGCAAGCGUUAAUCGGAAUUACUGGGCGUAAAGCGUGCGCAGGCGGUUCGGGAAAGAAAGAUGUGAAAUCCCAGAGCUUAACUUUGGAACUGCAUUUUUAACUACCGGGCUAGAGUGUGUCAGAGGGAGGUGGAAUUCCCGUGUAGCAGUGAAAUGCGUAGAUAUGCGGAGGAACACCGAUGGCGAAGGCAGCCUCUGGGAUAACACUGACGCUCAUGCACGAAAAGCGUGGGGAGCAAACAGGAUUAGAUACCCUGGUAGUCCACGCCCUAAACGAUGUCAACUAGCUGUUGGGGGCCUUCGGCCUUUGGUAGCGCA
rnacentral:rRNA from 1 species